rnacentral:rRNA from 1 species
UACAGGGGGGGGCAAGCGUUUGUUCGGAAUUACUGGGCGUAAAGGGCGUGUAGGUGGCCAACUAAGUCCGACGUGAAAUCCCCAGGCUUAACCUGGGAACUGCGUCGGAUACUGGAUGGCUUGAAUUCGGGAGAGGGAUGCAGAAUUCCAGGUGUAGCGGUGAAAUGCGUAGAUAUCUGGAGGAAUACCGGUGGCGAAGGCGGCAUCCUGGACCGAGAUUGACACUGUAGCGCGAAAGCUAGGGGAGCAAACGGG